CCCUUAGACGUUCUGGGCCGCACGCGCGCUACACUGACACAGGCAACGAGCUUUCCUUUACCGAAAGGUAUGGGUAAUCUUUUGAAACUGUGUCGUGCUGGGGAUAGAUCCUUGCAAUUUUUGAUCUUAAACGAGGAAUUCCUAGUAAGCGCGAGUCAUCAACUCGCGUUGAUUACGUCCCUGCCCUUUGUACACACCGCCCGCCGCUACUACCGAUUGAAUGGCUUAGUGAGGCCUCAGGAUCCGCGCUUAAUGUGUGGAGAAUUUGGACAAACUACGUCAUUUAGAGGAAGUAAAAGUCGUAACA
rnacentral:rRNA from 1 species